AAUGAACGCUAGCGGCAGGCUUAAUACAUGCAAGUCGAGGGACAGCACAGGUAGCAAUACUGGGUGGUAACCGGCAAACGGGUGCGGAACACGUACACAACCUUCCUUUAAGUGGGGGAUAGCCCAGAGAAAUUUGGAUUAAUACCCCGUAAUAUAGUUGAAUGGCAUCAUUUGAUUAUUAUAGCUACGGCGCUUAAUGAUGGGCGUGCGGCUGAUUAGAUAGUUGGCGGGGUAACGGCCCACCAAGUCUACGAUCAGUAGCUGAUGUGAGUGCAUGAUCAGCCACACGGGCACUGAGACACGGGCCCGACUCCUACGGGAGGCAGCAGUAAGGAAUAUUGGUCAAUGGACGCAAGUCUGAACCAGCCAUGCCGCGUGAAGGAUUAAGGUCCUCUGGAUUGUAAACUUCUUUUAUUUGGGACGAAAAAGGGCCUUUCUAGGUCAACUGACGGUACCAGAUGAAUAAGCACCGGCUAACUCCGUGCCAGCCGCCGCCGUAACAC
rnacentral:rRNA from 1 species